rnacentral:rRNA from 1 species
UAAUACUAAUUAUUAUAUAUCUACUUUUUUCACUAAUUCUUUUGAGGAUAAGCUCAAAGAGAAAGUUAAGAUAUUUAUGAUUAUAAGCCGCCGUGUGGGCUUAAAAUUGGCCACCACAAAAGUUUGUUAUAAAAUAACGGUUUCAACUCAAAAAAUAAAUAUAUUUUAAUCUAACUUCUUACGGAAAUAAAAUCUUUAACUAAAGUAAGUUUUAUACCUAUGCUAGGAUGAGUAUUAUAAACUAAUAUUAAACAUGAAAAUAUUUCUUCAGUAAAAAUUAUUCAAACAAACUAAUUAAUUAAAAGGAACUCGGCAAAAUUAGUUGCUUCGCCUGUUUAUCAAAAACAUGGCUCUCUGCUUAUGUAAAUAUAGAGAGUCGAGCCUGCCCAGUGAAUUUUCAACGGCCGCGGUACUCUGACCGUGCAAAGGUAGCAUAAUCAUUUGCCUUAUAAUUGAAGGCUAGUAUGAAUGGUUUGACGAGAGCAACGCUGUCUCUUUUUUAUUUUCAAGAACUUAACUUUUAGGUGAAGAGGCCUAAAUUUUAUUGAAGGACAAGAAGACCCUGUCGAGCUUAAAAGAUAUUAUAGAAGUGCAUAUAUUUUUAAAUAAAUUUUCUAUUCAGCUUUUUAGUUGGGGCGACUAAGGAACAAAAAAAGCUUCUUAUUAAUAAUAAACACUCAUGUUUAGAUCCGGCAAUAACCGAUCAAAGGAAUUAGUUACCGCAGGGAUAACAGCAUAAUCUCUCUUGAGAGACCUAAUCGAAAGAGGGGGUUGUGACCUCGAUGUUGGACUAGAA